GUGACCUCAGAUCAGGCGAGACCACCCGCUGAGUUUAAGCAUAUCACUAAGCGGAGGAAAAGAAACUAACAAGGAUUCCCUUAGUAGCGGCGAGCGAACCGGGAAAAGCCCA
rnacentral:rRNA from 1 species